AUGUCCCCAUGUCCCCACGAGGCCCUGGCACGUCCAGGAUGUCCCUGUGUCCCUGCGAGGCCCUGGCACAUCCCUGCAAGGCCCUGGCACGUCCAGGAUGUCCCCACGUCCCCACAAGGCCCCAGCACAUCCAGGAUGUCCCCACGUCCCCGCAAGGCCCUGGGACGUCCCCAUAAGGCCUCAGCACAUCCAGGAUGUCCCCGUGUCCCCAUGAGGCCCUGGCACAUCCAGGAUGUCCCCAUGUCCCUGCAAGGCCCUGGCACAUCCAGGAUGUCCCCGUGUCCCCACGAGGCCCUGGCAUGUCCCCAUAAGGCCCCGGCACAUCCAGGACGUCCGCACGUCGCCGCGAGGCCCCGGCACGUCCUCUUCAGUCCCGGCACGUCCCCAACCGCCGCCGUCGCAGCGAGGUCCCGGCGUCGCCCCCCGGGGCGGGGGGUGGCCGCCCCCUUCCUCCUCGUCCCCGCGGCAGGUCCCCGGCGUCCCCGGGCGGCGGCGGGGGGGAGAGAGGGCCGCGCUCAGAGCUUGAGCUCGUUGGCCACCUUGGAGGCAAUGUUCUUGAAGGCCAUGGAGGUGCCGGCGAUGCGCUUGAAGCGGACGCCGUUGAGCGAGAGGCGCGGCAGCUUGCACACCUCCAUCUCCCACUGCACGAAGGAGUCGUGGCCCGGCGCGCCGUGCACGCACAGCAGCACGUACUUCUCCUGCAGCUCGCACUGGCAGCUGUUGGCGUCCAGCACCUUGCGGAUCUCCCGCAUCAUCUCGUUGGGCUCCAGGGCGCUCGUCGUCUUCAUGCUCCACGUGAAGCGCAGCGAGCGCGGCUUCGCCUCCCGCCCCUCCUCCCGCUCCUUCUCGCCCGCCACGUGGGGCCUGCGGGGCGCCGGCGGGCGGGCGUCAGCGGGGCGCCCGGGGGGCCCCCGGGGCGUCGCGGGGAUCUCGAGGGUGUCACGGGGACUGGAUGGUGCCCACGAGGAUCCCAAGGGUGUCACGGGGACCGGAUGGUGCCCACGGGGAUCCCAAGGGUGUCACGGGGACUGGACGGUGCCCAUGGGGAGCCCCAGGGUGUCACGGGGAUCCCAAGGGUGUCACGGGGACUGG
rnacentral:lncRNA from 1 species